rnacentral:rRNA from 1 species
GACGAACGCUGGCGGCGUGCUUAACACAUGCAAGUCGAACGGAGCUAUUUAUUUCGGUAAAUCGCUUAGUGGCAAACGGGUGAGUAACGCGUAGGCAACCUGCCCUCAGGAUGGGGACAACGGCUCGAAAGAGCCGCUAAUACCGAAUGACGUAACUUUUUCACAUGGAAGAGAUACUAAAGAUGGGUCAAACCAUCGCCCGAGGAUGGGCCUGCGUCUGAUUAGCCAGUUGGUGAGGUAACGGCUCACCAAAGCAACGAUCAGUAGCCGGUCUGAGAGGAUGAACGGCCACAAUGGGACUGAGACACGGCCCAUACUCCUACGGGAGGCAGCAGUGGGGAAUCUUCCGCAAUGGGCGAAAGCCUGACGGAGCAACGCCGCGUGAGUGAAGAAGGUCUUCGGAUCGUAAAGCUCUGUUGUCGGGGACGAAAGGAAAGGGGAGGCAAUGCCCCUUUUAAGACGGUACCCGACGAGGAAGCCCGA